UACGUAGGUGGCAAGCGUUGUCCGGAUUUACUGGGCGUAAAGAGCGCGCAGGCGGUUGGAUAAGUCGAAUGUGAAAGCCCCCGGCUCAACUGGGGAGGGUCAUUCGAUACUGUCCGACUCGAAGGCAGGAGAGGGAAGCGGAAUUCCCGGUGUAGUGGUGAAAUGCGUAGAUAUUGGGAAGAACACCGGUGGCGAAGGCGGCCAUCUGGACCGCAACUGACGCUGAGGCGCGAAAGCGUGGGGAGCAAACAGG
rnacentral:rRNA from 1 species